AUGGAGGCGGCCAUGGCGGAGUUCCAGAGCCUAGGGUCGCUCGGCCCCAUAUGCGCGGUGGCGAACGAGUUCCUGCGCAACCAGACGGCGCAGAACGAGUACGAGGCGGAAGAGCAAUGCGACCGCUUGUUCCACCCCACCCAAUACGACAUGCCCGUCAACCGGCUCUCCUCCGCCGCCGCCGCUCGCUUCUUCGCGCUGCCUCCCGACGACGACGUCGACCGCGUCAGCCGCCUCCCCGACGCGCUCCUCCGCGACGUCGUCUCCCGCCUCCCCGUCAAGGACGCCGCGCGCACCGCCGCGCUCUCCCGCCGCUGGCGCGGGGUCUGGCGCUCGGCGCCGCUCGUCCUCGCCGACGCGGACCUCCUCCCCGACACCUCCGCCGUGUCCCGCGUCCUCGAGGCGCACCCGGGACCGUUCCGCUGCGUCCACCUUACCCGCACCCUCGCGGAGGGCUUCCACGGCCUGCUCACGCGCUGGCUCCAGCUCCUCGCCGCCAAGGGCAUCCAGGAGCUCGUCCUCGUCAACGCCCGCUGGCCGCUCGACUACUUUCUCCCCGCCAACCUCCUAAGCCUGACCAGCCUCACCCGCCUCUACCUCGGCAUGUGGAGGUUCCCCGACACGGCCGGCCUCCGGCGCGCCACCUGCUUCCCCAAUCUCCGUGACCUCGGGCUCUGUCACGUCCUCGUGGAGAGGCGGGAUCUGGACUUCAUCCUCGACAGGAGCCCCGUGCUGGAGACGCUGUGCGUCCAGGGCAAUGUGCUGAAGCUUCGCAUCCGGCUCGUCAGCCAGAGCCUCCGGUGCGUGCAGAUCAUUGGGUGCUUCAUCGAAGAGAUCUUCGUGCUGGACGCCCCAAAUCUUGAGCGGUUCAUCUAUUCAGAUGCUUGGCACCCUGUUGGCAACUGCACCACCACGGUCAAGAUCGGCCAUGCCCCCAAGCUGCACUUGUUGGGAUACUUGGCGUUGGACCCACGAAAGCAUGUCCUAGAUGUCGGCAACACCAUCAUCAAGGCUGGGAUAGGGAUGAGCCCAAGCACCAUGCUACCAGGUGUGAAAAUCCUGGCUUUGGAGGUGCGUUUCGCAGUCCGCAAUGAUGUCAAGAUGAUCCCCAAUGUCCUCAGAUGCUUUCCGAAUGUUGAGACGCUCCACAUCAUGUCUGGAAAAACUGAUCAAUCCACUGGCAAGGUCAACCUGAAGUUCUGGCUUGAGUCUGGUACCAUAGAAUGCAUAGAGUCGCGCAUCAAGCUGCUGGUUUUCCAUGGUUUCCAAGGGGAUCGAAGCGAGCUUGCCUUCCUCAAAUUCUUCUUUGAGAGCGCGUUUGUACUGGAGGAGGUAGUGGUUCUGUUGGCCGCUGAUCCGACGGAUGAGAUGAUACGCAAGGUGGUGUUUCUGAAGUACAUGGAACGGGCCAGUGAAGCCUCCAUACUGUCGGUCGGCCAUUCUGGUCCUCAAGGCUUCGCUCAGAGCGCCAGAAGAGGAUCUGAUUUCUCCCUCGGUGACCCUUUUGCCAACUAUUGCCGCAGCGACUUGUAUCGUAUGUCAUCACCCCACCCCUUGUACCUGUGCUAG
rnacentral:rRNA from 1 species